UACGUAGGCAGCGAGCGUUGUUCGGAGUUACUGGGCGUAAAGCGUGCGUAGGCGGCUAGAUGUGUCAAAGGUGAAAUCCCUCGGCUCAACUGAGGAACUGCCUUUGAAACUGUCUGGCUUGAGGCCGGGAGAGGGUAGCGGAAUUCCCAGUGUAGCGGUGAAAUGCGUAGAUAUUGGGAGGAACACCAGUGGCGAAGGCGGCUACCUGGACCGGUUCUGACGCUGAGGCGCGAAAGCGUGGGUAGCAAACAGG
rnacentral:rRNA from 1 species